UUGGGUGAGUGUGUAAGAGCGCAUGGUGGAUGCCUUGGCAUCAGGAGCCGAUGAAGGACGUGGAAAUCUGCGAUAAGCCUCGGGGAGCCGAUAAACAGGCGUUGAUCCGAGGGUCUCCGAAUGGGGAAACCCCGCCACUCGUGAGGGUGGUGACCCGUGUCUGAAUAUAUAGGGCAUGUGGAGGGAACGCGGGGAAGUGAAACAUCUCAGUACCCGCAGGAAGAGAAAAUAACAAUGAUUCCGGGAGUAGUGGCGAGCGAAACUGGAUGAGCCUAAACCUUGUCAGUGUCAAGCGUGCUGGUGUUGCUGUCAGGGUGUUGUGGGGUGUGCAUGGUCCGGUUCAGCAUGACUGGUCCGCGAGCGUGGUUGGUGUAGUCGAACCUGGUGGGAAACAGGACCGGAGUGGGUGAGAGUCCCGUAGACGAAACAUCAGCCUGUCGUGGUGUGUGCGUUGCCCGAGUAGCACGGAACUCGUGGAAUUUCGUGUGAAUCUGCCAGGACCACCUGGUAAGGCUAAAUACUUCCUGAUGACCGAUAGCGGAAUGAGUACCGUGAGGGAAUGGUGAAAAGUACCCCGGGAGGGGAGUGAAAGAGUACCUGAAACCAUGUGCUUACAAUCCGUCAGAGCAGUAUCUUGAUGACUGUGAUGGCGUGCCUUUUGAAGAAUGAGCCUGCGAGUUAGCGGUACGUGGCGAGGUUAACCCGUGUGGGGUAGCCGUAGCGAAAGCGAGUCCGAAUAGGGCGAGUCAGUCGCGUGUCCUAGACCCGAAGCGGAGUGAUCUAGCCAUGGGCAGGGUGAAGCGUGUGUAAGAGCGCGUGGAGGCCCGCACCCACUUCAGUUGAAAAUGGAGGGGAUGACCUGUGGUUAGGGGUGAAAGGCCAAUCAAACUCUGUGAUAGCUGGUUCUCCCCGAAAUGCAUUUAGGUGCAGCGUUGCGUGGUUCUUGCUGGAGGUAGAGCUACUGGAUGGCUGAUGGGCCCUACCGGGUUACUGACGUCAACUAAACUCCGAAUGCCAGUCAAGGUUCAGCGUGGCAGUGAGACAGUGGGGGAUAAGCUUCAUUGUCGAGAGGGAAACAGCCCAGACCAUCAACUAAGGCCCCUAAGCGUGUGCUCAGUGGGAAAGGAUGUUCAGUUGCGAAGACAACCAGGAGGUUGGCUUAGAAGCAGCCAUCCUUGAAAGAGUGCGUAAUAGCUCACUGGUCAAGUGAUUGAGCGCCGAUAAUGUAGCGGGGCUAAGUACACCGCCGAAGUUGUGGCAGCACCAC
rnacentral:rRNA from 1 species